UUGUUCGGAUUUACUGGGCGUAAAGCGCGUGUAGGCUGCUUCGCAAGUCGGAUGUGAAAGCCCUGGGCUCAACCCAGGAAGUGCAUUCGAAACUGCAGAGCUGGAGUCCUGGAGAGGAAGGCGGAAUUCUCGGUGUAGAGGUGAAAUUCGUAGAUAUCGAGAGGAACACCGGUGGCGAAGGCGGCCUUCUGGACAGUGACUGACGCUGAGACGCGAAAGCGUGGGGAGCGAACAGG
rnacentral:rRNA from 1 species